UCUCGAUAACGUAAAAGUUAACUCGAAAUUUGUAUGAUGUUGGAGCGAUUGCCUGCGUUUGCCGCUAGAGGCGCUGUUCCGACUGCAUACAAAUUUGAGUUUUAUUUUUACGCGAUCGA
rnacentral:pre_miRNA from 9 species